CGACCUGAGAGGGUAAUCGGCCACAUUGGGACUGAGACACGGCCCAAACUCCUACGGGAGGCAGCAGUAGGGAAUCUUCCGCAAUGGACGAAAGUCUGAUGGAGCAACGCCGCGUGAGUGAAGAAGGGUUUCGGCUCGUAAAACUCUGUUGUUAAAGAAGAACAUAUCUGAGAGUAACUGUUCAGGUAUUGACGGUAUUUAACCAGAAAGCCACGGCUAACUACGUGCCAUCAGCCGCGGUAAUACGUAGGUGGCAAGCGUUGUCCGGAUUUAUUGGGCGUAAAGCGAGCGCAGGCGGUUUUUUAAGUCUGAUGUGAAAGCCUUCGGCUCAACCGAAGAAGUGCAUCGGAAACUGGGAAACUUGAGUGCAUAAGAGGACAGUGGAACUCCAUGUGUAGCGGUGAAAUGCGUAGAUAUAUGGAAGAACACCACUGGCGAAGGCGGCUGUCUGGUCUGUAACUGACGCUGAGGCUCGAAAGUAUGGGUAGCAAACAGGAUUAGAUACCCUGGUAGUCCAUACCGUAAACGAUGAAUGCUAAGUGUUGGAGGGUUUCCGCCCUUCAGUGCUGCAGCUAACGCAUUAAGCAUUCCGCCUGGGGAGUACGGCCGCAAGGCUGAAACUCAAAGGAAUUGACGGGGGCCCGCACAAGCGGUGGAGCAUGUGGUUUAAUUCGAAGCUACGCGAAGAACCUUACCAGGUCUUGACAUACUAUGCAAAUCUAAGAGAUUAGACGUUCCCUUCGGGGACAUGGAUACAGGUGGUGCAUGGUUGUCGUCAGCUCGUGUCGUGAGAUGUUGGGUUAAGUCCCGCAACGAGCGCAACCCUUAUUAUCAGUUGCCAGCAUUAAGUUGGGCACUCUGGUGAGACUGCCGGUGACAAACCGGAGGAAGGUGGGGAUGACGUCAAAUCAUCAUGCCCCUUAUGACCUGGGCUACACACGU
rnacentral:rRNA from 2 species